GCGUGUAUGCGGUCUUUCAAGUCCGAUGCUAAAGACUGGGGCUCAACCCCAGGGGUGCGUUGGAUACUGUGAGGCUAGACGGUCGGAGGGGGUAGCGGAAUUUCCGGAGUAGCGGUGAAAUGCGCAGAUACCGGAAGGAACGCCAAUAGCGAAGGCAGCUACCUGGACGACUUGUGACGCUGAGGCGCGAAAGCGUGGGGAGCAAACCGGAUUAGAUACCCGGGUAGUCCACGCCCUAAACCAUGAGUGCUGGGUGUCCGGCUCCUGCUGGGUGCCGUAGCUAACGCGCUAAGCACUCCGCCUGGGAAGUACGCACGCAAGUGUGAAACUCAAAGGAAUUGACGGGGGCCCGCACAAGCGGUGGAGCAUGUGGUUUAAUUCGAAGCGACGCGAAGAACCUUACCAGGCCUUGACAUGCCCGGAACCCCUCUGAAAGGAGGGGGUGCCCGCAAGGGAGCCGGGACACAGGUGCUGCAUGGCCGUCGUCAGCUCGUGUCGUGAGAUGUUGGGUUAAGUCCCGCAACGAGCGCAACCCCUAUCCCUAGUUGCCAGCAGUUCGGCUGGGCACUCUAUGGAGACUGCCUGCGAAAGCAGGAGGAAGGCGGGGAUGACGUCUGGUCCGCAUGGCCCUUACGGCCUGGGCGACACACGUGCUACAAUGCCAAGGACAGAGCGCUGCUACCUCGCGAGAGGACGCCAAUCGCAUAAACCUUGGCUCAGUUCGGAUUGGAGUCUGCAACUCGAC
rnacentral:rRNA from 1 species